rnacentral:rRNA from 1 species
AAUAAACGCUGGCGGCGUGCCUAACACAUGCAAGUCGAGCGAGAAAGUUCCUUCGGGAGCGAGUAAAGCGGCGGACGGGUGAGUAACGCGUGAGAAUCUGCCCUUCAGUGAAGAAUACCUCCGGGAAACCGGGGUUAAUGCUGCAUACGUCCCUUCGGGGAGAAAGAUGGCCUCUUUGCUGUCGCUGAGGGAUGAGCUUGCGUACUAUUAGCUAGUUGGUGGGGUAAUGGCCUACCAAGGCGAUGAUGGUUAACCGGCCUGAGAGGGUGUACGGUCACAUUGGAACUGAGAAACGGUCCAGACUCCUACGGGUGGCAG